rfam:Schistosoma curassoni strain Dakar, Senegal genome assembly, scaffold: SCTD_contig0003627
AUCCAGCUGACGAGUCCAAAAUAGGACCAAACGCCCGUUCCAGAU